rnacentral:rRNA from 1 species
CAUCCUCCAAGGCUAAAUACUCCUGACUGACCGAUAGUGAACCAGUACCGUGAGGGAAAGGCGAAAAGAACCCCGGCGAGGGGAGUGAAAAAGAACCUGAAACCGUGUACGUACAAGCAGUGGGAGCACAGGUUUACCUGUGUGACUGCGUACCUUUUGUAUAAUGGGUCAGCGACUUAUAUUCUGUAGCAAGGUUAACCGUAUAGGGGAGCCGGAGGGAAACCGAGUCUUAACCGGGCGUUAAGUUGCAGGGUAUAGACCCGAAACCCGGUGAUCUAGCCAUGGGCAGGUUGAAGGUUGGGUAACACUAACUGGAGGACCGAACCGACUAAUGUUGAAAAAUUAGCGGAUGACCUGUGGCUGGGGGUGAAAGGCCAAUCAAACCGGGAGAUAGCUGGUUCUCCCCGAAAGCUAUUUAGGUAGCGCCUCGUGAAUUCAUCUCCGGGGGUAGAGCACUGUUUCGGCUAGGGGGCCAUCCCGGCUUACCAACCCGAUGCAAACUGCGAAUACCGGAGAAUGUUAUCACGGGAGACACACGGCGGGUGCUAACGUCCGUCGUGAAGAGGGAAACAACCCAGACCGCCAGCUAAGGUCCCAAAGUCAUGGUUAAGUGGGAAACGAUGUGGGAAGGCCCAGACAGCCAGGAUGUUGGCUUAGAAGCAGCCAUCAUUUAAAGAAAGCGUAAUAGCUCACUGGUCGAGUCGGCCUGCGCGGAAGAUGUAACGGGGCUAAACCAUGCACCGAAGCUGCGGCAGCGACACUCAGGUGUUGUUGGGUAGGGGAGCGUUCUGUAAGCCUGUGAAGGUGGCCUGUGAGGGUUGCUGGAGGUAUCAGAAGUGCGAAUGCUGACAUAAGUAACGAUAAAGCGGGUGAAAAGCCCGCUCGCCGGAAGACCAAGGGUUCCUGUCCAACGUUAAUCGGGGCAGGGUGAGUCGACCCCUAAGGCGAGGCCGAAAGGCGUAGUCGAUGGGAAACGGGUUAAUAUUCCCGUACU